rnacentral:rRNA from 1 species
GAUGAACGCUGGCGGCGUGCCUAAUACAUGCAAGUCGAGCGAACGGACGAGAAGCUUGCUUCUCUGAUGUUAGCGGCGGACGGGUGAGUAACACGUGGAUAACCUACCUAUAAGACUGGGAUAACUUCGGGAAACCGGAGCUAAUACCGGAUGAUAUUUUGAACCGCAUGGUUCAAAAGUGAAAGACGGUCUUGCUGUCACUUAUAGAUGGAUCCGCGCUGUAUUAGCUAGUUGGUAAGGUAACGGCUUACCAAGGCAACGAUGCAUGGCCGACCUGAGAGGGUGAUCGGCCACACUGGAACUGAGACACGGUCCAGACUCCUACGGGAGGCAGCAGUAGGGAAUCUUCCGCAAUGGGCGAAAGCCUGACGGAGCAACGCCGCGUGAGUGAUGAAGGUCUUCGGAUCGUAAAACUCUGUUAUUAGGGAAGAACAUAUGUGUAAGUAACUGUGCACAUCUUGACGGUACCUAAUCAGAAAGCCACGGCUAACUACGUG